AUCGCUUCUCGGCCUUUUGGCUAAGCUCAAGUGUAGUAUCUGUUCUUAUCAGUUUAAUAUCUGAUACGCCCCCUAUCUGGAGGCCAUAUAUUAAAUGGAUUUUUAGAACAGGGAGAUGGAAGAAGAGCUUGCUCUGUCCACUCCACGCUUUGACCUGGUAUUGCAGUACCUCCAGGACCGGUGCACCUAAA
ensembl:snRNA U2 U2 spliceosomal RNA